UACGUAGGGUGCGAGCGUUAAUCGGAAUUACUGGGCAUAAAGCGUGCGCAGGCGGCUUUGCAAGACAGAUGUGAAGUCCCCGGGCUUAACCUGGGAACUGCAUUUGUGACUGCAUGGCUGGAGUGCGGCAGAGGGGGAUGGAAUUCCGCGUGUAGCAGUGAAAUGCGUAGAUAUGCGGAGGAACACCGAUGGCGAAGGCAAUCCCCUGGGCCUGCACUGACGCUCAUGCACGAAAGCGUGGGGAGCAAACAGG
rnacentral:rRNA from 1 species